rnacentral:tRNA from 1 species
GCCCUCGUCGUUCAACGGACAGGACACAAGAUUGCGGAUCUUGAAAUAGGGGUUCGAUUCCUCUCGGGGGCA